UACGAAGGGGGCUAGCGUUGUUCGGAAUUACUGGGCGUAAAGCGCGCGCAGGCGGCUCUUCAAGUCAGGGGUGAAAGCCCAGAGAUCAACUCUGGAAUUGCCUUUGAGACUGUAGAGCUUGAGUACGGGAGAGGUGAGUGGAAUUCCCAGUGUAGAGGUGAAAUUCGUAGAUAUUGGGAAGAACACCGGUGGCGAAGGCGGCUCACUGGCCCGUUUCUGACGCUCAGGCGCGACAGCGUGGGGAUCAAACAGG
rnacentral:rRNA from 1 species